rnacentral:rRNA from 1 species
UACGAAGGGGGCUAGCGUUGCUCGGAAUCACUGGGCGUAAAGCGCACGUAGGCGGCUUUUUAAGUCAGGGGUGAAAUCCUGGAGCUCAACUCCAGAACUGCCUUUGAUACUGAGAGCUUGAGUCCGGGGAGAGGUGAGUGGAACUGCGGAGUGUAGAGGUGAAAUUCGUAGAUAUUCGCAAGAACACCAGUGGCGAAGGCGGCUCACUGGCCCGGUACUGACGCUGAGGUGCGAAAGCGUGGGGGAGCAAACAGG